GUUCGUACCAAGGUUUCCCGAAGUGAACCUGCGGAAGGAUCAUUG
rnacentral:rRNA from 1 species